rnacentral:rRNA from 1 species
AGGUGUGGGUAGCGGAGAAAUUCCAAUCGAACUUGGAGAUAGCUGGUUCUCUCCGAAAUAGCUUUAGGGCUAGCCUCGAGGUAAAGAGUCAUGGAGGUAGAGCACUGUUUGGACUAGGGGCCCUUCUCGGGUUACCGAAUUCAGAUAAACUCCGAAUGCCAUGUACUUAUACUCGGGAGUCAGACUGCGAGUGAUAAGAUCCGUAGUCGAAAGGGAAACAGCCCAGACCACCAGUUAAGGUCCCCAAAUAUAUGUUAAGUGGAAAAGGAUGUGGGGUUGCUUAGACAACCAGGAUGUUGGCUUAGAAGCAGCCACCAUUGAAAGAGUGCGUAAUAGCUCACUGGUCGAGUGACCCCGCGCCGAAAAUGUACCGGGGCUAAACAUAUUACCGAAACUGUGGAUGAACCUCUUUAGAGGUUCGUGGUAGGAGAGCGUUCUAAGGGCGGUGAAGUCAGACCGGAAGGACUGGUGGAGCGCUUAGAAGUGAGAAUGCCGGUAUGAGUAGCGAAAGAAGGGUGAGAAUCCCUUCCACCGAAUAUCUAAGGUUUCCUGAGGAAGGCUCGUCCGCUCAGGGUUAGUCGGGACCUAAGCCGAGGCCGAUAGGCGUAGGCGAUGGACAACAGGUAGAGAUUCCUGUACCAGUGCUAAUUGUUUAACCGAUGGGGUGACACAGAAGGAUAGGGAAUCGCACGAAUGGAAAUGUGCGUCCAAGCAGUGAGUGUGAGAAGUAGGCAAAUCCGCUUCUCGCGAAGCAUGAGCUGUGAUGGGGAAGGAAAUUAAGUACGGAAGUUCCUGAUUUCACGCUGUCAAGAAAAGCCUCUAGGAAGAGUAGUACUGCCCGUACCGCAAACCGACACAGGUAGAUGAGGAGAGAAUCCUAAGGUGAGCGAGAGAACUCUCGUUAAGGAACUCGGCAAAAUGACCCCGUAACUUCGGGAGAAGGGGUGCUCUAUUAGGGUGCAAGCCCGAGAGAGCCGCAGUGAAUAGGCCCAGGCGACUGUUUAGCAAAAACACAGGUCUCUGCAAAACCGUAAGGUGACGUAUAGGGGCUGACGCCUGCCCGGUGCUGGAAGGUUAAGAGGAGUGCUUAGCUUCGGCGAAGGUACGAAUUGAAGCCCCAGUAAACGGCGGCCGUAACUAUAACGGUCCUAAGGUAGCGAAAUUCCUUGUCGGGUAAGUUCCGACCCGCACGAAAGGCGCAACGAUCUGGGCACUGUCUCAACGAGAGACUCGGUGAAAUUAUAGUACCUGUGAAGAUGCAGGUUACCCGCGACAGGACGGAAAGACCCCGUGGAGCUUUACUGCAACCUGAUAUGGAAUGUUUGUACCGCUUGUACAGGAUAGGUAGGAGCCGAAGAGACGUGUGCGCUAGCAUACGAGGAGGCAAUGGUGGGAUACUACCCUGGCUGUAUGACCAUUCUAACCCGCCACGCUUAGCGCGUGGGGAGACAGUGUCAGGUGGGCAGUUUGACUGGGGCGGUCGCCUCCUAAAGAGUAACGGAGGCGCCCAAAGGUUCCCUCAGAAUGGAUGGAAAUCAUUCGCAGAGUGUAAAGGCACAAGGGAGCUUGACUGCGAGACUGACAAGUCGAGCAGGGACGAAAGUCGGGCUUAGUGAUCCGGUGGUUCCGCAUGGAAGGGCCAUCGCUCAACGGAUAAAAGCUACCCCGGGGAUAACAGGCUUAUCUCCCCCAAGAGUCCACAUCGACGGGGAGGUUUGGCACCUCGAUGUCGGCUCGUCGCAUCCUGGGGCUGUAGUCGGUCCCAAGGGUUGGGCUGUUCGCCCAUUAAAGCGGCACGCGAGCUGGGUUCAGAACGUCGUGAGACAGUUCGGUCCCUAUCCGUCGCGGGCGCAGGAAAUUUGAGAGGAGCUGUCCUUAGUACGAGAGGACCGGGAUGGACACACCGCUGGUGUACCAGUUGUUCCGCCAGGAGCAUCGCUGGGUAGCUAUGUGUGGCAGGGAUAAACGCUGAAAGCAUCUAAGCGUGAAGCCCCCCUCAAGAUGAGAUUUCCCAUUUCUUCGGAAAGUAAGAUCCCUGAAAGAUGAUCAGGUAGAUAGGUUUGGAGUGGAAGUGUAGCGAUACAUGGAGCGGACAAAUACUAAUCGAUCGAGGACUUAACCAAAA